CCUACGGGAGGCUGCAGUGGGGAAUAUUGGACAAUGGGGGGAACCCUGAUCCAGCGACGCCGCGUGAGUGAAGAAGUUUUUCGGUAUGUAAAGCCCUAUCAGCAGGGAAGAAAAUGAUGGUACCCGACCAAGAAGCCCCGGCUAACGACGUGCCAGCAGCCGUGGGAACACGUAGGGGGCAAGCGUUAUCCGGAUUGACUGGGGGUAAAGGGAGCGUAGACGGUGCAGCAAGUCUGAUGUGAAAGGUCGGGGCCCAACCCCGGGACUGCAUUGGAAACUGUUGAACUGGAGUACAGGAGAGGUAGGCGGAAUUCGUGGUGUAGCGGUGAAAUGCAUAGAUAUCGGGAGGAACACCAGUGGCGAAGGCGGCUUGCUGGACUGUAACUGACGUUGAGGCUCGAAAGCGUGGGGAGCGAACAGGAUUAGAUACCCCAGUAGUC
rnacentral:rRNA from 1 species